AACUAUAAUUUUUAUAGCUUUGUAAUUUAAAAUAUUUUUAUCAUUUUAUUUAUUCUGAUAUUGUUGAUAAAGAAGCUUUUGCCUGCAUUUAUUCCUCAAAAGUCCUUUCGUACAAGAAGAGAAAAGUAGUAGAUAGAAACUGUCCUGUCUCACGACGGACUGAACUCAGAUCGCGUAAGAUUUUAUAGGUUGAACAAACCUACCCUUGAAAACGGCUGCACCUUCAGGAAAUCUUGAUCCAACAUCGAGGUCGCAAACUUUCUUGUCAAUAAGUACUCUCGAAGAAAAUUACGCUGUUAUCCCUAUGGUAACUUUUUCUUUUUAUCACAACUAUUGUGGAUCAUUUAUAUAUUUAAAUAAUUUAAAAAUAUUUUUGUCUUAAUAAAAAAUAAGUUGCCCCAACUAAAAUUCUUGACUAAUUUUUGUAAUAAGAAAAGGAUUAAAGCUCAAUAGGGUCUUCUCGUCCCACUAUCACAUUUUGGUUUCUUCACCAAAAUACUAAAUUCUAAAUUUACGAAAAGAGACAGAAUUUUCUUCGUCUAGCCAUUGAUUCCAGCCUGGAAUUAACAGGCAAAUGAUUAUGCUACCUUUGCACGGUCAGAGUACCGCAGCCGUUUAAUCAAAAGAUCACCGGGCAGGCAGGACCCCACGAUUAUAAAGCCGGGGGCGAUGUUUUAGGUAAACAGGCGAGAAAAGCUUUUGCCGAGUUCCUUUUUUCGUAUUUAUUAUUAAACUUUUUCUAAAAUAAGAAUAUUAGGUAAUAGUAAAACUGUAAAACGUUUUUACUAAAAUUAUUACUUAAACCAAAAAUUUUUUACUCAUAAAGCCAUUAAUACCAAAUUUAUUAAUUUGUACCAAGGUAAUAAUUUUGAAGACGGAAAGUUAAUCAAUUAUUAAAAUCUUAUUUUUUAAGGAGCUCAAACGCCCUCUUUAAAGAAAAAUGCUUGAAUUUUACUUCUUAAAGAUUAUAAAGUUUUAUUAAUGUCCUUUUUCUAAAUAAAAGGUUGAACCUUAAAUAAUAUAUUGAUCAGCCAAUAUAUUAUAAAAAGAAGUAGAUCUCAUUAAGCUUACACUUAAUUCCCUUGGAAAAAGCUAUAAUAAUAUUCGAUUAGCAUUUCACUUCUAUUAGAUCCUCGUACCUUGUUUUUUCUACAACUAGGAAACUUUCUUACAAAGGAAAAAAAUAGCUCAUAUUAUUUCGUUAGAAAAGAAAUAAAACUUUUGCAUUUCAGCCUUCCAUAAUACAAAAGGUACAGAAUAAUUCUUUCUUCUUUCUUAAUUAAGUUUUAAAUUAAUUCAAAAUCCUUCGCAGUUAAAUAUAUAGGUACAAAAUUAAUUUCAAAAAAGAUUACUAAAAAAUAUUACGAAAAUUAAUAUUUUAUUAUUAAUCCAACUAAAAAUUUU
rnacentral:rRNA from 1 species